rnacentral:rRNA from 1 species
CAAGAACUACGAAAGUAGUGACGGGGCCCGCACAAGCGGCGGAGCAUGUGGAUUUAAUUCGAUGCAACGCGAAGAACCUUACCUGGGUUUUGACAUAUACCGGAAAGCUGCAGAGAUGUGGCCCCCCUUGUGGUCGGUAUACAGGUGGUGCAUGGCUGUCGUCAGCUCGUGUCGUGAGAUGUCGGGUUAAGUCCCGCAACGAGCGCAACCCCUAUCUUAUGUUGCCAGCACGUUAUGGUGGGGACUCGUAAGAGACUGCCGGGGUCAACUCGGAGGAAGGUGGGACGACGUCAAGUCAUCAUGCCCCUUAUGUCCAGGGCUUCACACAUGCUACAAUGGCCAGUACAGAGGGCUGCGAGACCGUGAGGUGGAGCGAAUCCCUUAAAGCUGGUCUCAGUUCGGAUCGGGGUCUGCAACUCGACCCCGUGAAGUCGGAGUCGCUAGUAAUCGCAGAUCAGCAACGCUGCGGUGAAUACGUUCCCGGGCCUU